rnacentral:rRNA from 1 species
AGCGAACGCUGGCGGCAGGCCUAACACAUGCAAGUCGAACGGAUCCUUCGGGAUUAGUGGCGGACGGGUGAGUAACACGUGGGAACGUGCCUUUUGGUUCGGAACAACUCAGGGAAACUUGAGCUAAUACCGGAUGUGCCCUUCGGGGGAAAGAUUUAUCGCCAUUAGAGCGGCCCGCGUCUGAUUAGCUUGUUGGUGAGGUAAAGGCUCACCAAGGCUACGAUCAGUAGCUGGUCUGAGAGGAUGAUCAGCCACACUGGGACUGAGACACGGCCCAGACUCCUACGGGAGGCAGCAGUGGGGAAUCUUGCGCAAUGGGCGAAAGCCUGACGCAGCCAUGCCGCGUGAAUGAUGAAGGUCUUAGGAUUGUAAAAUUCUUUCACCGGGGACGAUAAUGACGGUACCCGGAGAAGAAGCUCCGGCUAACUUCGUGCCAGCCGCCGCCGUAACAC